rnacentral:rRNA from 1 species
AGUGAACGCUGGCGGUAGGCCUAACACAUGCAAGUCGAACGGCAGCACAGCAAGAGCUUGCUCUUACGGGUGGCGAGUGGCGGACGGGUGAGGAAUACAUCGGAAUCUACUUUUUCGUGGGGGAUAACGUAGGGAAACUUACGCUAAUACCGCAUACGACCUACGGGUGAAAGCAGGGGAUCCUCGGACCUUGCGCGAUUGAAUGAGCCGAUGUCGGAUUAGCUAGUUGGCGGGGUAAAGGCCCACCAAGGCGACGAUCCGUAGCUGGUCUGAGAGGAUGAUCAGCCACACUGGAACUGAGACACGGUCCAGACUCCUACGGGAGGCAGCAGUGGGGAAUAUUGGACAAUGGGCGCAAGCCUGAUCCAGCCAUACCGCGUGGGUGAAGAAGGCCUUCGGGUUGUAAAGCCCUUUUGUUGGGAAAGAAAAGCAGCAGGUUAAUACCCCGCUGUUCUGACGGUACCCAAAGAAUAAGCACCGGCUAACUUCGUG